CCCCCCCCCCCCCCCCCCCCCCCCCCCCCCCCCCCCCCCCCCCCCCCCCCCCCCCCCCCCCCCCCCCCCCCCCCCUCUUCACGGCGCUGCCCGCCGGCCUGCGGGCCCGGCGGCUGGUGCUGGGCACGGAGCACGUCCUGGCGCUGGGCGCCGGCGGGGAGGUGUUCAGCUGGGGCGGCGGCAGGUGAGCGGAGCUGCGGGGACACAGCGGUGCGGGGGAUACCGGGGGGCGUUCAGGAACUGCAGGACAAGCGGUAGAGACGAGCUCUUUGUUUAUUCUCACAAAGGCGUUUGUUGUUCAUUAGGGGUUGUCUGUGUAUUUGCUGCCCCAGUCAGGUUUUCCCAGAAGGUGCUGGAAAGCCCAGCCACAGGUCCCCCUGCCCUGGGUCCGAGUUCUGCUGGUGCAUGAUGAGCCUUGGCCACGGGAGCUGGCUGCUCUCGGCUGUAGGGGAAGGGUUGCCGCGUUCCUCUUUCCUAUUUAUGGAAGACAAACCCCACACUGAUCAUCAGUCACUGUCCAGAGCUGCGAGCCCUGGCCCAGUGCCCUCCCUGCUCCUCUGGCUCCGGGGAUUUCACUGCCCAGUCCCUGCUCUUGGUGGCUCAGGGGGUUUCAGUGCCCAGUCCCUGCUCUUGUGGCUCAGGGGGUUUCAGUGCCCAGUCCCUGCUCUUGGUGGCUCAGGAGGUUUCAGUGCCCAGUCCCUGCUCCUUGCUGGAGCAGCAGCUCGUGGCAAACACAGCACUCAGUUCACAGCAGUUGGUGUUUUGCAGACAGGACAUUAUUUGUUUUUUUUAUGCCUUCUCUUCAGAGGAAAGGUUUCUACAUGUGGGGAUAUGUACUUGAGUGCUGGGAAAUCUCAGCUUUACUAAGAGGGGUAACUGAGGUGUUUUUUAAAAGAUUUUAUUCCAUUUUUAGUCUAAUUGAAGGGUGAAGCAUAAGAGAUGUAAAACUCCGUGGCAUUCUGUCAGAACCCAACUUAUUUCUUGGUUAGAAUACCUUAUAAAUAUUUUUUAGCCUAUUAGCUUUUGCCAUGUAAUACUGCUAAUACUUCUAACGCCAAUCAUUUAUUAUUUUACCCCACGUGGUCUUGCUACAAUGCAAUUUCACAGUUUUAAGUCUCCAAAAUCUGUUCUUUUUGCAAGGCCAUCGUUUCAAACUUGUUUCUAGUCCAGUCUGUCUCUCAGCAAUGUCUUCCCUAUUCCAUUUCUAAAUCAGCACACCUUACCUCAGAGUUUGCAUACACCUGUACCAGACUGUGUGAGCUUUCAGUCAGGCUUGGAGAAUCCUUUACAAAUCCUUUCCUCACACCUCCCCCUCUUUCUUGAACUGUAAAAACUUUCUGAUGGUCUUAUUUGCUGUACACAGUGAAGAGCACAAAGUACAAAUACUAAUAUUGUUACUAUAACAAUUAAUAUAUAAAAAUUUAUUUUGCAAGGCUUUUUUAGUGAAGGUGCAAAGUUUUAAACAGGUUGUUUAAUUGAGAUUUAUAGUUUGUUUUAAUUUUAUUUGUGUUUUUGAGGCAGUUUGUGGGUGGAUUUUGAGUGGUUAGACAAAUUUACAGAAUACAGUUUUAAAUUUUUUUCUAACUAUGUUUAUGUGCUAGUAAGAGAAAAUUGGUUUAGUUUUAUAAGGUUUUAUCUUCAAUGCUACUAACGUUUGUUAUCAUAUUACUAAUUACUAUGGAAGUAGUAUUGAUUUUUUUUCUUAAUUAACAUUUUAAUUGAUUUAAUUUUUUAAUGUUACAACUGAGGUAAGUUGAGGUAAAAAUAAAUUUGAUACAAGUUGUUUUGUAGGGCUUCAGGGUUUAAAAUUGUUAUUAUAGUUUUUUUAUAAUGAUAGGCAGAUUUUUUUAAAAUUUUGAUGGUUUUUUAACACUAGGUGUUAUAGUGAAUUGUUUGAUGUUAUAUGGGUUAUUUUUAGUUUUUGAGGGAAUGCUUUGCUAGGUUUUAUUUUUAUAAAUGAGUUAAUAUUUUUGGUAAUUGUGGGAAUUUAUUAAGGUUAACAGUUUUAGUGGGUAUAGGAGUAAUACAAUUAUACUGAAAACUUGAUGUUUUGUGCACAGGAUGACAGGGAGUAACAUUUAAUUGUGGAUUUUUUUGGUACUGAAACAGUACAAAAUUUAAUUGCUAAAGAACUAAGAAUUUUUAAGGUUCAAAGGGAUGGUUAUGGAAUUUGUUUUGAUGGCAACUUCAUGUUAAUAAUUGUUAUGGUUAGGUAUUGGCUGCUUUUUGGUUGGCACUGGUUCACUGGUUAAACAUUGUAAAGGUUUUUUUGGGCUUGACUUAGUUAAUAUAUGGUGUUUGAGUUUGCUGACUUGGCUAAAGUAACUUAAAUAUUUGGCUUUGGUUGAUUUAUAGGCAUAUUUGUACUGUAAAAGCAAGUAAGCAAAACAAACAAGUAUAAAUACGUUGUUUGAUUUAACUUCAUGUUUUUGUUUAGUUACUUUUGGCAAAAGGCUUUUUCAUGUAUUUUUUUUCCCCAAAAUUUUUUAAGGACCGUUGUUUUGUUUACACUUAAUUUUGCAAAUUUGGGUAUUUUGGGAUGCCUUUUAACACCACAGACACCACACUUUUGUUAAACGAGUUGUAUUAUAUUGAUUGUUAUAGUUUUGACGUUGACAUAAACCGCACGGUUUGUAGUUUCUGUAGGUCGGGCUGGGGGCGUUGGGCGCGGGCUGUGACAUGAACUCGGGCUGUGCCAGCCUGGAGCUGGGCUGGCAGCGGGAAGGGCAGGGUGGGCUGCCCCCCCCCCCCCCCCCCCCCCCCCCCCCCCCCCCCCCCCCCCCCCCCCC
rnacentral:lncRNA from 1 species